UGAAGUGCUUCAAAAAGCCCUAAGGUGGAGAGCUCUCAAAAAGCUCUCAGGUGGAGAGGUACGAAAAAGUGGUGAACAGCUCCCAAAAAACCAAACCCUGAUGUAAUCCGCGAGCUCUGCCAGGUGAUGCACUCCUCCAAGGUGGGUAGUUGAUGCACUCCUCAAAGGCUGAGCGGAGAAGA